rnacentral:rRNA from 1 species
GGCUAACGCUGGCGGCGUGUCUUAGCCAUGCAAGUCGAGCGGACUUAUGGGGUAACUUAUAAGUCAGCGGCGGACGGCGGAGUAACACGUAGCUAACCUACCCUCUGGACGGGGAUAACCUACCGAAAGGUGGGCUAAUACCCGAUGUAGUCAUCCUGUAUAGGGGUGAUGAAAGGUGGGCUUCUGUUUACAAGCUCAUGCUGGAGGAGGGGGCUGCGGCCUAUCAGGUAGUUGGUAGGGUAAUAGCCUACCAAGCCGAUGACGGGUAGCCGGUCUGAGAGGAUGGCCGGCCACAAGGGCACUGAGAGACGGGCCCUACUCCUACGGGAGGCAGCAGUGGGGGAUUUUGGACAAUGGGCGAAAGCCUGAUCCAGCGACGCCGCGUGGAGGACGAAGCCCUUCGGGGUGUAAACGUCCUUUUCUCAGGGAAAAGGAUGAUGGUACCUGAGGAAUAAGCCCCGGCUAACUACGUG